rnacentral:lncRNA from 1 species
AUGUCCCAUUUCCUGCUGCCACAUGUGUAGGCAUAUGCAGGCCUGAACCCUGAGGUUCAUCGGAGUAGCCAGCUCUCUAACAGCAAUGGCUUCCCCCAUCUCCAACUGCAGCAAGCUGAGCACAGCCCAGGCCUGUUGUACGCAGCAGGCGGCUUAUAAGUGUUGUAUGCAGCAGGCGGCUUAUAUUGCAGCAGCUUCUGGCUGAGUCUCCAGCUCCCAACUCCCUGCAGAGGCCCGGGGAUCAUGCACAACUGCUUCUGGUUUUCUAUGUUCUCUCAGCGAAUCUGAAGUAUUGGCUACAGACCCAGGCUUGCCUGCCACCUCAAGGUGCAGAGUGUUAUAAGCUGGCCCUGAGAAAUGUCCAGUGUGUAGCUUCCACUUGUGCAGCCGGAGCUGUCACCCUGGUUGAUCCGUCUUGGAGUGUGCAUUCAAUAAACCAUCCCUGUUUAACUGA